rnacentral:lncRNA from 1 species
GUGGAUUUUUCCGAAAUAAGCUACAAUGUGAAUUCAAAUUGGUUAUAAAUGAUUUCAGGUUAAUUAUAGAUGCACUUAUGGUUGAGCAUGAAGUUGGUUGAGGUUUAAAAUGCAAAAGUGAGACGAGCCUAUGCCAUUUUAAAGGAUUAAAGGUGAGUUCCUUUAGCUUAGAACCCACCUUUGGGAAUGGAUUAUGAUUAUGUUAGAUUAAUGAGAUAACAUGAAUAAUUAGGCCAUUUUUAUGAUUUCUUGUCUUUUGUGCAAGCAUGACUACUAUGCCAUAUGAAUGAUACAUUUGAAACAGAAUAGAUAUGAGAUAGUAGAAUGAUUAUUUCUGAACUAGGUACAAUUAUUAUUUAUUCUAAAAUCUCUUUUAUGUUAAUAAGUAUGUUUAUGUUAGCAUAAUUGUUGGAGGGAAAUUUUAUCAAGACAAUUGAUAUGUAUAAUUAUGGUAAUGAUUUGAAAUACAGUCUAUGAGUAAUAUGCUCCCAGUGAAUUAUAGAAAAUCACAGAAAAAUAGAAAUGAGUAGAAAAAAACUUGAAAUGAGUAACAUGAUCAUAGAAAAAGAAAGAAAGAAAGAAAGAAAUAAUAAAUUUGAUAAAAUCUCCGUUUGCUACAACGAAGAGAUAAUGUAGCCUAUGAGGAACGGCUCAUAGUAACGAAUGUGAAACUCCGUUUGCUACAACGAAGAGAUAAUGUAGCCUAUGAGGAACGGCUCAAAGUAACAAAUGUGAAACUCUGUUUGCUACAACGAAGAGAUAAUGUAGCCUAUGAGGAACGGCUCAUAGUAACGAAUGUGAAACUCCGUUUGCUACAACGAAGAGAUAAUGUAGCCUAUGAGGAACGACUCAUAGUAAAAAUAAUGAAAUAGUUACCGUUCGCCAUAACGAAGAGAUAAUAUGAUAUAUACGCAUAGAAUGAAAUGUAUAACUAAUGAUACUUAUAUUAACAUGAAAAUUAUGUUUAGUAUGAAUUAGCUACGAAGCCAUAUCUUAUGGGCAUUUUGCCAAUCAUUGGAAAUGAUGAAUUUUAGUUACGGAACUCCGGCUCAGUUAGCCGAAACUAGCUGUUACCAAAAAAAAAAAAAGAGAAUCAGAGACAUACUCAUAUAAGUAUGUCAAAGUAUAAGCUAUACUAGAAUACGAUAUAUUGGAUUUAUGUUUAUGAUUAUUAUUAUGAUUAUGGUGAUUAUGCUUAUGAUUGAAGUUAUGAGUAUGACUAUGUUUAUGAUAUAAUCAAAAUAGUAUUUCAGACAGCAAUUUUAGUUAUCCCCUGAUCGCUCAGUUAUGCAUAAUGAAAUCAUAUAAACCCGAAAUGGGUUGAGUUUAGUAACAGAUGGCGAUCCUAGAUUCCCCGAGAUUGCCUACAGCCUAGGAUAGGUGGAACUCACUGAGGCAUUUUGUCUCACCCCAAUUCUUUUUAUUUAUGUCAGACGUACAAGUUAUUAUACAACAUGAUGGUUCGUGAUGAAGGAGCAGAAGUCGCUUGAAGUUUCGCGUCAGUAGUGUUAGUGUUACUUCAGAGGUAUAAGACGAGAAUUUUUUUGUAUCUUAUUCAAAGGAAAUUUUUAUUGUAGUAAUUUUAAUGUAUCCAUUGCCAAGUUUAACACUCAUGCUAGAUAUCCUAGGUAAUUUCUAGUAGGGGUGUUACAU